GUGCUCGCUUUGGAAGCACAUAAACUAAAACUGGAACAAUACAGAGAAGAUUAGCAUGGCCUCUGCACAAAAAAAAAAAAAAAAACUUUUUUUU
rnacentral:snRNA from 1 species